rnacentral:sRNA from 1 species
GUAUGUCGAACCUAGGCGAGGCGAGUAUGUUCCUUAGUCUUAAGACCGGUGCGACUUUUGCGACACAGUAUAAUCCAGGAGAGGAACGUGUAGCCAAUCGCAGCCUGAAAAUGUGAGUACAUUUAAAAUGACAAGCACCGGAAUUA